rnacentral:lncRNA from 1 species
AGAGUGGAAAUGAUCAAAUAUCCCUGGUUGGGGCCACAUGCUGGCGGCAUCCAUCCCCGCUAGGGUACAGGCGAGGUGGUGGUGGAGCCUGGCCCCCAGGCCAGCUCAGAUGCAGGUCAGUUCCGGGUUCUCUCUUUCACCUUCCACCUGUGCUGACCCAUCAGGCAUGCAGACCCGGAGGUGGACACAGAUGCUGCCCUGUUCUCACUGCAGCCCAAGCGUCUGCCUGGGAUUUUCAAUAUGGUGGUAGAAGGAUAUAUUCUCGAUAAUACUGGAAAAUGUUCUUGAUGAAAGAACAGUGCACAGUGACUUUGACAUCGCUUUCCAAUGCAAAGCUGAACAGAGGGUUGGUGCUCUGGGCCAGCGGGGUCCCAGGUGAGAAAUCUGAAUGGAGUAUUAUUCUGAGCCAAGCUGGUAACCCUGUCACCCAUGGUUUCCUUGUUGCCUUAUGUGAUGUCCCGAGAAACACCCUUCUUGCUUCUCUCUGAAUGAUCCUCUUCACUCUCUCCUGGAGAACCAUGUAGGAUGGGGGAAAGAGAAAGUUGAAAUAACUUAGGUGAGUGAUGGGUCAGUUGGCAAAGAAUCUGCCUGCAAUGCCGGAGACCUGG